UCCCUGGAGAACUAGUGGUUAGGCCUUGGUGCUCUGACUGCCGCGGCCCGGGUUCGAUUCCCAGCCAGGGAA